rnacentral:rRNA from 1 species
AGACCGAUAGCGAACAAGUAGAGUGAUCGAAAGAUGAAAAGCACUUUGAAAAGAGAGUUAAACAGCACGUGAAAUUGUUGAAAGGGAAGCGCUUGCGACCAGACUCGGCCCCGGGGUUCAGCCAGCACUCGUGCUGGUGUACUUCCCCGGGGGCGGGCCAGCGUCGGUUUGGGCGGCCGGUCAAAGGCCCCAGGAAUGUAUCGCCCUCCGGGGUUGUCUUAUAGCCUGGGGUGCAAUGCGGCCAGCCCGGACCGAGGAACGCGCUUCGGCACGGACGCUGGCGUAAUGGUCGCAAACNACCCGUCUUGAAACACGGACCAAG